rnacentral:rRNA from 1 species
UAUAAGUGAUGGCGACCGGCGCACGGGUGAGCAACACGUAUCCAACCUGCCGAUAACUCGGGGAUAGCCUUUCGAAAGAAAGAUUAAUACCCGAUGGUAUAAUAAAACCGCAUGGUUUAAUUAUUAAAGAAUUUCGGUUAUCGAUGGGGAUGCGUUCCAUUAGGCAGUUGGUGAGGUAACGGCUCACCAAACCUUCGAUGGAUAGGGGUUCUGAGAGGAAGGUCCCCCACAUUGGAACUGAGACACGGUCCAA